GCAGCUUUUGAUAUGUCAUCUCGUUGGGCCACGCGAGUUACGAGACGAAUAUGUUUUUGGCAGAGCUUCCGAGUCAAAUGAUUCAAUUCGGUUUAACCCCACAUGAAGGCGGUCAUUUACAACAACCUAGAGGAGCCUGAUAUCCAAAUACCUAAAGACCCUGAUUCAACCCUCCUUGACCCACGCAGAUACAAUCCGGAACUAGGCUCUGAUCCGUUCUUAUAAUAUGAUAAGAAGAAGCCACCCAACACCGUAAAAACAAAGAAAGAAAGAAUGUCCUUCCAAUCACACCGAGAUCGUGUCCCCUAUCGGGUUGCCGAUCCACCAUCCUGCAAAAUCCUUUAGACCUUUUACAUCCUUCUCGCGGAAAUCGUACAGUCUGGUCGAUCGUAGGAUAAGAUUCUCGCCAUCAAAAUAUGAUUCGAUGACUCGAGCUCGUUGUAUGCCCAUGAGUGAGAAAACCAACACCUAUAGAUACCAAAUCAGUAUCCUGCCGCAUGAAUGGUAGUAAGAGGAGUAAUUACCGGCG
rnacentral:sRNA from 1 species